UUAACAAAGCACUGAUCUCUCUCUCUCUCUCUGAGAGUCUUUGACUGUGGAAACAUUGCCCAUGAGGUCUGGAAGACUUCUGGAUCAUUAUUGCCACCGACUUCCUCUCUCUGUGAGCAAAGAGUUAUCAGAGGUCAGCUGCAGAGUGGAAAGUGUGGCAGUAAAUUGUGAGGCAAACAGGGAAGCAAAUGACCACUAUCUCCCAGUUUCACAAGAAAGAAGUCAGAAAUACCACUGAAAGGCAUCUUGAAUAAAGAAACACUUCGGUGGACCCUGUGUUCAGGAAACCCCAAGUCCUGCUGAAUUGGUUUGGAUUAAGAGAGAGGAAAAGGAGAGGACUCUUGGUAAACUAUCAGGUAUAGACAGACAUACCCUAGUCUUGUGGCACCCAUGAAUAGAUCCAGUGAGCCUGUGCAGCUGUGUUUUGAUCAGCAGAGAAGUUUCCUGGCAUCCGAGAACUGAAAUCACCUUUUGGGUAUGACAAGUGCAUCUAACUGCAGGGACGCAG